rnacentral:rRNA from 1 species
UACGUAGGGUGCAAGCGUUUGUCCGGAAUUAUUGGGCGUAAAGAGCGUGUAGGCGGCCCGAUUAGUCCGCUGUGAAAGUCCAGGGCUCAACCCUGGAAUGCCGGUGGAUACUGUCGGGCUAGAGUCCGGAAGGGGCGAGUGGAAUUCCUGGUGUAGCGGUGAAAUGCGCAGAUAUCAGGAGGAACACCAAUGGCGAAGGCAGCUCGCUGGGACGUGACUGACGCUGAGAACGCGAAAGCGUGGGGGAGCAAACAGG